rnacentral:rRNA from 1 species
AUUACCCAAUACGGACACCGUGAGGUAGUGACAAGAAAUAACAAUACAGGGCUUUAAGCUUUGUAAUUGGAAUGAUGGGAAUCCAAACCCCUUCCAGAGUAUCAAUUGGAGGGCAAGUCUGGUGCCAGCAGCCGCGGUAAUUCCAGCUCCAAUAGCGUAUAUUAAAUUUGUUGCAGUUAAAAAGCUCGUAGUUGAACUUCUGCCGCCGGGACUUCGUUCCCUUCGGGGCUUCGUUUUCUCGGUGGCAUCCCUCUGGUUAAUUUGGGCCUCGGCCCUCUUUUUCCAGUUUUUACUUUGAGAAAAUUAGAGUGUUUCAAGCAGGCUUUUGCCUUGAAUACCUCAGCAUGGAGUAAUAAAGUAGGACUUUGGUUCUAUUUUGUUGGUUUCAGGACCAAAGUAAUGGUUAAUAGGAGCAGUUGGGGGCAUUCGUAUUUAA